GACGAACGCUGGCGGCGUGCUUAACACAUGCAAGUCGAACGGUAAGGCCCUUCGGGGUACACGAGUGGCGAACGGGUGAGUAACACGUGGGUGAUCUGCCCUGCACUUCGGGAUAAGCCUGGGAAACUGGGUCUAAUACCGGAUAGGACUCCUGGCUUCAUGGUUGGGGGUGGAAAGCUUUUGCGGUGUGGGAUGGGCCCGCGGCCUAUCAGCUUGUUGGUGGGGUAAUGGCCUACCAAGGCGACGACGGGUAGCCGGCCUGAGAGGGUGACCGGUCACACGGGGACUGAGAUACGGCCCAGACUCCGACGGGAGGCAGCAGUGGGGAAUAUUGCACAAUGGGCGCAAGCCUGAUGCAGCGACGCCGCGUGAGGGAUGACGGCCUUCGGGUUGUAAACCUCUUUCAGCUAUGGCGAAGCGCAAGUGACGGUAGUAGCAGAAGAAGGACCGGCCAACUACGUGCCAGCCGCCGCUGUAA
rnacentral:rRNA from 1 species